rnacentral:rRNA from 1 species
UGGGGAAUCUUGGACAAUGGGCGCAAGCCUGAUCCAGCAAUGCCGCGUGGGUGAAGAAGGCCUUCGGGUUGUAAAGCCCUUUUGUUUGGGAGCAAAUCCUUGGUGUUAAUACCGCCUGGGGAUGAGAGUACCAAAAGAAUCAGCACCGGCUAACUACGUGCCAGCAGCCGCGGUAAUACGUAGGGUGCAAGCGUUAAUCGGAAUUACUGGGCGUAAAGCGUGCGCAGGUGGUUUUGUAAGACCGACGUGAAAUCCCCGGGCUCAACCUGGGAACUGCGUUAGUGACUGCAAGACUAGAGUGUGGCAGAGGGGGGUGGAAUUCCACGUGUAGCAGUGAAAUGCGUAGAGAUGUGGAGGAACACCGAUGGCGAAGGCAGCCCCCUGGGCUAACACUGACACU